rnacentral:rRNA from 1 species
GUUCGGAUUGUAGGCUGCAACUCGCCUACAUGAAGUCGGAAUCGCUAGUAAUCGCGGAUCAGCAUGCCGCGGUGAAUACGUUCCCGGGCCUUGUACACACCGCCCGUCACACCAUGAGAGUUUGUAACACCCAAAGCCGGUGGGGUAACCUUUUGGAGCCAGCCGUCUAAGGUGGGACAGAUGAUUGGGGUGAAGUCGUAACAAGGUAAC